rnacentral:rRNA from 1 species
UACGAGGGGGGCAAGCGUUGUUCGGAAUUAUUGGGCGUAAAGGGCGCGUAGGCGGUGCGGUAAGUCACCUGUGAAAUCUCUGGGCUCAACUCAGAGUCUGCAGGCGAAACUGCCGUGCUGGAGUAUGGGAGAGGUGCGUGGAAUUCCCGGUGUAGCGGUGAAAUGCGCAGAUAUGUGGAGGAACACCGAUGGCGAAGGCAGCCCCCUGGGUCAAGACUGACGCUCAUGCACGAAAGCGUGGGGAGCAAACAGG